rnacentral:rRNA from 1 species
UACGAAGGGGGCUAGCGUUGUUCGGAAUUACUGGGCGUAAAGCGCACGUAGGCGGAUUUGCCAGUCAGGGGUGAAAUCCCGGGGCUCAACCUCGGAACUGCCUCUGAUACAGCAAGUCUUGAGUCCGGAAGAGGUGGGUGGAAUUCCUAGUGUAGAGGUGAAAUUCGUAGAUAUCAGGAAGAACACCCGUGGCGAAGGCGGCUCUCUGGAACGCAACUGACGCUGAGACGCGAAAGCGUGGGGAGCAAACAGG